rnacentral:rRNA from 1 species
GGCUUAUUGAUUAUAAUUUUAAGUCUGACCUGCCCAAUGAUGAAUAUUUAAUGGCUGCGGUAUACUGACCGUGCAAAGGUAGCAUAAUCAUUAGUUUUUUAAUUGAAAGCUUGUAUGAAAGGUUUGAUGAAAAAAUAGCUGUCUCUAUCUAAAUUAAUUAGAAUUUUAUUUUUAAGUUAAAAAGCUUAAAUAUUUAUAGAAGACGAGAAGACCCUAUAGAGUUUUAUAAUUAUUUUUUAUAAGUGAAAUUUUAGUAUUUUCUAGUUUAUAAAAAUAAUUAUUUGAUUGGGGUGAUAGAAAAAUUUAAUAAACUUUUUUUAUAUAAAUACAUUAAUUUAUGAGUGAUUGAUCCUUUAUUAAAGAUUAAAAGAUAAAAUUACCUUAGGGAUAACAGCGUAAUUUUUUUUUAGAGUUCAAAUCAAAAGAAAAGAUUGCGACCUCGAUGUUGGAUUAAAAAGAAUUGUUGGUGUAGAAGCUAAUAAAUUGGGUCUGUUCGACCUUUAAAAUUUUACAUGAUCUGAGUUUAAACCGGUGUAAG